AUGAGGAAGAAGAGGAUGGAGCGUGAUCGAGAGGGAGAGGUAAACAGAGAGAGCAGAUGUUCCUGUUUAAAGCGGAGCAGAUGAAGAGAUAUGAAAAGGAAAAGAUAAACCGGAUAAACCAGGCCAGAGAGCAGGGCUGGAGACACGUGCUGAGCUCCAGUGGAGGCAGCAGCCCCGAGAGGAAGG